rnacentral:rRNA from 1 species
AACGAACGCUGGCGGCAUGCCUAACACAUGCAAGUCGAACGAGACCUUCGGGUCUAGUGGCGCACGGGUGCGUAACGCGUGGGAACCUGCCCUUAGGUUCGGAAUAACUCCCUGAAAGGGGUGCUAAUACCGGAUAAUGUCUUCGGACCAAAGAUUUAUCGCCUUUGGAUGGGCCCGCGUUGGAUUAGCUAGUUGGUAGGGUAAAAGCCUACCAAGGCGACGAUCCAUAGCUGGUCUGAGAGGAUGAUCAGCCACACUGGGACUGAGACACGGCCCAGACUCCUACGGGAGGCAGCAGUGGGGAAUAUUGGACAAUGGGCGAAAGCCUGAUCCAGCAAUGCCGCGUGAGUGAUGAAGGCCUUAGGGUUGUAAAGCUCUUUUACCCGGGAUGAUAAUGACAGUACCGGGAGAAUAAGCUCCGGCUAACUCUGUG